GGGCGGCGGCGGGCUGGGCUGGCCUCGGGCUGCGAUGGAGCGGGGCCGCGGGCUCCGCGCCCCCCGCGCCGCGAAGCCGCAGAGGAAGAAGCGCCGCUCGUCCCCUCUGCCGGGGGCGGCCGCUGUGCCGGGCAGCCGGGCCGGCAGCUCCCAGAUGUGCCGGCGGCGCCUCUUCGGCAGCGCGGGGCCUCGCGGGCCCGAGCCCGCCUGCCUGAAGAAAAAGCCCAGUGGGAAAAACUUACCAAAGAUUAAAGAAAAUGUUGAAUAUACUGAAGAGAGCUCUUCAUGCAACCAAAGCAAUCAAGUGACUGUCAGAGAAACAACAGACUUCAAGAUAAAAGAUGAGGAACCAGAAAAAAACAGUGUACCACUUCAGGAUUACAAAAUAAUCAACUUUGAAAGUAAAGGAAGUUUAAAAAAUGCUGAAGUGACUUCAAGUACAGAAAUUACUCUUCCCACAGGUGUUUCCACCUUUCUCAUAGAGUGUUUAGAUGAAGAUUCAGCUGCAAAUUAUAGCGCUGCUAGUGACAGCCUGAAAACUUACUCAUCUCCUGAAACAUUCAGAGAUGAUGAUUUGGAUCCAGAAAGAUGCAAUUUUUACUCUGUGGACCUUGGCAAGUACAAGAACUCUACUCUCCUGGACUCCAGCAAAGCAGUGACCAUUGAUAAGAUACCACAGAUCUCAAAUCUUUCAGCAAUAUUAGAACCUGUACCAGAGGAUUUUCCAGAGCGAUGCACUAGAAGAAAGAGACCAUCAAGUUACUAUAAAAGCUCUUCAGCAUUAAACGUUUCAGCUACGCUGGCAGGGAAAAAACUCUGUAAAAUAACAGCUGCAGGAGAGAGAACUCCAGACCUAAAAAGUGGUACGCGCUGUUCUUCACCAUUAGGACCGGAAAGCAAGCAUGAUAAUCAAACAACUAAAGCCAAAAGGCUGAAGAAAAAAGAAAGCAGCUUUAAUCUCUUUGAAGAAGGUUCAUCAUCAUUUACACAGCUUGAUGCCUCAGAAGACAUGUCAGACAGCUCAAAGGAAUUGACAGUAGAAGUUCUGGCAGCCAAACCGAGGGAUGCUGUGGUGCCAAUGACUUCCACCAUGCUAAUCAUGGAGGAAAAUAAAGUCCUAAAAAGUCCUGGUAAUGCUCAGCCUCUAGAGCUAGAUCCUCAAUGUGAUAGACAAGAAAUCUGCUCCAUUGUUAGACUGUCACCAGACCCGAGGCCUUCCUGGCCCCAGCAAGUUCCAGUUAAAUUUAAAAAGUUCCGCUGUCCCAAAGGAGUGCCUGAAGAUACUAUAACAAGUACCAAAAAUUGGAUCUACUGUAAACAGAGAUGAGAUUUUUGGCUCUCAGCAGGAGUUAACAGAAGAAAUGACUGUCUUGCUACUGUGACAGGGUGGUAAAACAGAACUCCUAACUAGUAAAUAAUAGUUAUAUGGUUUUUGUAUGAAUGUUGUUUGAAAUUUAAUAUUACAUGUUUCUAUAAGCUAGUAAAUACUCAAAUACUUUAUAUUAAAUUGUUUUGUUCAGCAGCUAGAUCCUGCUCUGGGCAUUGUUCUGUAAGAUUCCAUAGAGAUGAUUCUUCAAUUUGUUUAGAUUUUUAAAAAGUUUGACUGAAGAACAGGAGACCAAAUUCCUUUAAUUAAUUACUUUUGGCUCUUUCUGCCAAGAUUUCUAGUUUUCUCUAGUAGCAUUAGCAUCAAAAGAUGGAACCUCUGUUUAAGUGUUAACAUUGACUAUGAAGGUCAGUGUUAACAUGGAGUCCUGGGAGUGGCCAUGAAAGCAUUCAUGCACUCUCGGAGACCCAGAAGUCAAUAGUAUGGCACCAUUAAACUCCUUGAGUGCUUAAGUCUGCAGAACUUUGGAGGUACGGGACUGUGAGUUCUGCUGUAAUUUGAUUUCUGAACAUGACUACAGGUCAUCUUCACCCCAUCAUCACUGAGAAUUGUCUCUUAAUGAUCAGCACUGUCACCAUUCAGGGCACAUCCACUGCCCAGCCACUGCCACCACAGAGUCCUUCCUGUUUCAUCUCAGGUAUUUUGUAAGAUCACAUCUCUUAGUCAUUCUCUCUUCUAGUGGCUUCAGACUUAAGAGAAAGUAAAUGCCUUACAUGAAGACAAUGGUGGGAAAAACCCUUUUAUAGCUGAACUGUUUGAAGAGAUGGAUAUUGACAUUCUGGAUUUUCAGGUUACUUCUCACACUGUGUCCACAUAAGUUAGACUCCCUGUGCUUCCUGUUCAGGUUGUGGAUUGUUAAUUCAUAAAUGUUGUUCUUAAUGUGCUGAAUGUCUCGGAAAAAACAGUCAAGAACAAUUUUUUUCCACUUGAAUUCAUUGCA
rnacentral:lncRNA from 1 species